rnacentral:rRNA from 1 species
AUGAAGGAUGGACCUGAGGUUUCUGUCAUAUCAUUAUGCGCCUUUGAAGGUCAUUGGACUAGCCAGCAUGAGCUCUUUUACCAAAACAAGGUUAUUGAUCUGGCAAGGUUGAAUCAUGAGAACAUAGCAAAGUUUCUGGGCUAUUGCAGAGAGAGUGACCCAUUCUCGAGGAUGUUAAUCUUUGAGUAA